rnacentral:rRNA from 1 species
UACAGAGGUCUCAAGCGUUGUUCGGAUUCAUUGGGCGUAAAGGGUGCGUAGGCGGCGCGGUAAGUCGGGUGUGAAAUCUUGGAGCUUAACUCCGAAACUGCAUUCGAUACUGCCGUGCUUGAGGACUGGAGAGGAGACUGGAAUGGUCGGUGUAGCGGUGAAAAUGCGUAGAGAUCGACCAGAACACCGGUGGCGAAGGCGGGGUCUCUGGACAGUUCCUGACGCUCAGGCACGAAAGCCAGGGGAGCAAACGGG